GCACUGCUGAUGAGUCCUACAAUAGGACGAAACGUUAGUCCAGUGC
rnacentral:hammerhead_ribozyme from 1 species